rnacentral:rRNA from 1 species
GGCGGCAGGCCUAACACAUGCAGGUCGAGCGGAUGAGAAGAGCUUGCUCUUCGAUUCAGCGGCGGACGGGUGAGUAAUGCCUAGGAAUCUGCCUGGUAGUGGGGGACAACGUUUCGAAAGGAACGCUAAUACCGCAUACGUCCUACGGGAGAAAGCAGGGGACCUUCGGGCCUUGCGCUAUCAGAUGAGCCUAGGUCGGAUUAGCUAGUUGGUGAGGUAAUGGCUCACCAAGGCGACGAUCCGUAACUGGUCUGAGAGGAUGAUCAGUCACACUGGAACUGAGACACGGUCCAGACUCCUACGGGAGGCAGCAGUGGGGAAUAUUGGACAAUGGGCGAAAGCCUGAUCCAGCCAUGCCGCGUGUGUGAAGAAGGUCUUCGGAUUGUAAAGCACUUUAAGUUGGGAGGAAGGGCAGUUUCCUAAUACGAAAUUGUUUUGACGUUACCGACAGAAUAAGCACCGGCUAACUCUGUGCCAGCAGCCGCGGUAAUACAGAAGGUGCAAGCGUUAAUCGGAAUUACUGGG